rnacentral:rRNA from 1 species
AUCUUAAUCCAACAUCGAGGUCGCAACCUAUCUUAUCGAUAAGAACUCUCCAAGAUAAUUACGCUGUUAUCCCUAAGGUAACUUAAUUUAUUAAUCUCUAGUAGAGGAUCAAUUAAACCAUAAAUCAAUGUAAUAACUAAAUGAAAGUUUUUUAAAUUUCAGUGUCACCCCAACAAAAUAAUAUAUUAUAUUUAUAAUAAAUACUAAUUCUAAAAAAUUAAAAAUAAAUAAUUAUAAAGAUCUAUAGGGUCUUCUCGUCUUUUAAUAAAAUUUUAGCUUUUUGACUAAAAAAUAAAAUUCUAAAUUAAUUAAUUAGAAACAGUCAAUACCUCGUCCAACCAUUCAUACAAGCCUUCAAUAAAAAGACUAAUGAUUAUGCUACCUUUGCACAGUUAAAAUACUGCGGCCUUUUAAUAUAAUAAUCNNUGGGCAGGCUAGACCUUAAAUUAACUUCUAAAGGAC